GCAAGUCGAACGGUAACAGGCAGAGCUUGCUCUGUGCUGACGAGUGGCGGACGGGUGAGUAACGCGUGGGAAUCUGCCUGGUAGUGGGGGACAACUUGGGGAAACUCAAGCUAAUACCGCAUGUGGUCUACGGACUAAAGCAGGGGAUCUUCGGACCUUGUGCUACUAGAUGAGCCCGCGUUAGAUUAGCUAGUUGGUAGGGUAAAGGCCUACCAAGGCGACGAUCUAUAGCUGGUCUGAGAGGACGAUC
rnacentral:rRNA from 1 species